GGGUAUGUUCGGUAACCAUUAUAAAAAUUGUUUUUUGUUUUUUUAAUCAAAAAUUUAGAAAUACAAAUGAAAAUUGUGUUUGGUAACUCCAUUUCUUUUUUUGUUUUUAAAAUUAAAAAACAGAAUUGAGUGAAUUUUAAAAACACAUUUUAGAUGAUUUUAAAAAAUUUUAAAAACACUUUUACUUCUCUCUCUCGUUAGUCAUUCUUCAGAGUAGUUUCCAUGGCUUCAACUUCACCAUUACAGAUUCGAAAAUGAAAACAUGAGAAGAGCAUGAUAAUGAAAGUUGUUUCUUAGAGAGAAAGAUCUUUUUGCUAUUACAGAUGACAGGAACAGAUAGUGAGGUGGUUAUUACUGAUAAUAUCGAAGCUUCUGUUUGGCCUAAAAAACAUGAAGAAAUUUUUAUUGAACUUAUGGAAGAAGAAGUUUUGAAGGGAAAUAAGAAUACUACAACCUUUACAAAGUAAUCGUGGAAGCGUAUAAAGGAGAAGCUAUAUGCACAAGUGAAGAAAAGUUACACUGAUAUGCUGAUCAUAUAUGGAGAGCAAAUCGACGAUGAAGAUAAUGAGUGAAAGAUAAUUAACAAUUAGAACUUUUUUAAUAGUUUUCUUCAAGAUUAGACAAUUAUUAGUUCAUAUUUUAUUAUGACUUUGUCGGUUUUGUGUUAUAGAUAAUGAGUUUCGUGAUUUUAAAUUACUUGAAUUUUUGUAAGAUGUUAAUGAGUAUUUUUUAUUUAUUUUUUUAUAAUUUU